CUAUUGCGAUGUGUGUGGAGAUCUCUGCUCCUCAGUGGCCACCCGAUCAUGCUGAUUGAAAGGGCUCAGAAUACAUUACAUAGUUUAUGGUGAUGUGUCGGACUGUCCAGUAGAUGGCACCAUUUCUCUAUUUUGAUUCUUGCACUUCUUGAGUAAACUUAUCUAUAUUGUGUUGUGUUGAAAAAGUCAUCAGAAUGGUCCAAUGUCCGCCAAUACCAAUACCACAUACAAGUUGUUACAUUUACAGGAUUGUCAAAUGUUGUGGACUUUGAUAACUUUUAUUUAAUAAAU